GACAGAGGGUGCAAGCGUUGUUCGGAAUUAUUGGGCGUAAAGGGCGCGUAGGCGGCUUGGCAAGUCGAAUGUGAAAGCCCAGGGCUCAACCCUGGAAGUGCAUCCGAAACUAUCAAACUAGAGUCCCGGAGAGGGUGGUGGAAUUCCCAGUGUAGAGGUGAAAUUCGUAGAUAUUGGGAGGAACACCGGUGGCGAAGGCGGCCCACUGGCUCGACACUGACGCUGAGGUGCGAAAGCGUGGGGAGCAAACAGG
rnacentral:rRNA from 1 species